rnacentral:lncRNA from 1 species
UUUACAAAUACCGCUCCUACGUAUCUCAAUAGAGAAGUCAAGGCUUACGUAGUUCUGGGUAGAAAAUGUUUGUUUGUUGGUCGAUUUUAGCGAAAGCUAUACUGUAUUAAUCGACGAAAACAUUGUUUUACCCAAAACAGAUGAGGAGUGGACGCAUACCAUACAUCGAACGGAUUUAUAAAUCUACAAUCGGAAAAGCGUCACUUAUCUCGACUCAACAAUCGUGGCCGAAACAUUGUUUUACAUCACCU